AUAAAACAAAGAUGAGCGUAUGAAGAUAUGAACCUUCACUUUGGAUUGUCUGUCGUACAGAUAUUAUUGUAGGCAAAAGUACUCACAGUCUGUACUAAUUAAGUAUAUGUACUGUAGAAGUACAGAUUCUUGAACUGUAUUUAAAAAACGACUAGUAAGUAAAAGUAGCACUGAUUCGACUCAACUAGGAGAACAAAGUAUGUACUCUGAAAUUUCCUAAAGUAGCCUACAAAAGUAAAAAAUAUUUUGUUUUACUGUCAAUAGUGUAUGACACCCAUUUUGAUAACUUGGCAGAGUACACAAAACACUUUUGUGUUUUAAAACCGAGUGCUAGCUAGCAUUUGCUCAGGCUUUUAUGCUAUCAAAACACGUUCACUUAAUAAAUAUGACUAGGAAGAUAUAACAUCCCCUCUUUGAGCUGCAUGCCUAUGGUGACACUAAGCUAGGAGGGUAAAAGUCCUCACUGCAUUACAUGUGUGUGGACGGCAAGAAAACAAAACAAACAAAAAACAAGGGGACCGGUACACUGUGUUACGCCGUACAAUUACGACAAGGGAACUGGGAGCAUACCCUUUCACAGAGGAAAAGCGGACGUGGCUGAGGACAAGGGAAAGGUGCGUGAAGUACGAUGCUAAAGCCACGCCCCCAGUAGGGUGUGCAUUGUGAAAAAAAACAUCGGUUUGGCUAAGGAACCCCGAAAAUGUCACCUACAAAGAGACACGCUUACGAAGCACAGUUUAAACUGCAAGCUAUCAGUUACGCGGAGGAACAUGGGAAUCGAGCAGCCGCGAGAGAAUUCAAGAUCAACGAAUGCAUGGUUCGCAAGUGGAGGAAGCAGGAAAACGAGCUUCGCCAAGUCAAAAAGACAAAGCUGAGUUUCCGUGGAAAAAAAGAAAACAAAACGCAGAAACAAGGCGAGGUGGCCCGAGUUGUAAGACCAACUCGAGCAAUGGAUUAAUGAGCAAAGAACAGCUGGGAGAAGCGUCUCUACAGUCACCAUUCGACUGAGUGCAAUAACUCGGGGCUUGCCAUCAUUCCAGGAGGCUUGACGAACCACUGGACAUCCGUGUAAACAGGGUGUUCAAAGUGAAGUGAGCGGCGUGGGAGCCAUGGAUGACAGAUGGCGCACACAGCUUUACUAAGACUAGGAGGCAGCGCCGGGCGAGUUACGCCACAAUUUGUGAAUGGAUUGUGGAUGCUUUGGCUAACGUGUCUGUUUGCACUGUUGUUCGAGCUUUCACACGGCAAUGAGACUGUCUCGAACCCGGCGUGUUUGAUUGAGAACUUGCCCAGCUGUUCAUUUCGGAUACAGAAG